UACGAAGGGGGCUAGCGUUGCUCGGAAUCACUGGGCGUAAAGGGUGCGUAGGCGGGUUUUUAAGUCAGGGGUGAAAUCCUGGAGCUCAACUCCAGAACUGCCUUUGAUACUGAAGAUCUUGAGUUCGGGAGAGGUGAGUGGAACUGCGAGUGUAGAGGUGAAAUUCGUAGAUAUUCGGAAGAACACCAGUGGCGAAGGCGGCUCACUGGCCCGUUACCGACGCUCAGGCGCGACAGCGUGGGGAGCAAACAGG
rnacentral:rRNA from 1 species